rnacentral:rRNA from 1 species
UACGUAGGGUCCGAGCGUUGUCCGGAAUUACUGGGCGUAAAGAGCUCGUAGGUGGUUUGUCGCGUUGUUCGUGAAAACUCACAGCUCAACUGUGGGCGUGCGGGCGAUACGGGCAGACUUGAGUACUGCAGGGGAGACUGGAAUUCCUGGUGUAGCGGUGAAAUGCGUAGAUAUCCGGAGGAACACCGGUGGCGAAGGCGGCUUCCUGGACCGACACUGACGCUGAGGCGCGAAAGCUAGGGGAGCAAACGGG